AUGGGUCUGGCGGGUUCGUCGGCGGCGGCUCGAGGCCCGGCUGGGCGGGCUGCGCUGGCAGAACCGGAGCCGGCCAUGGGAUGGUGCCGCCCUGGUCCUUCGCGCAUGGCCAUGUGGCGUCGUCGUCGCGCGCUCCGGCGCCAACAGGAGGCUGGUGCUCUGCGCAGAUCAGGGUCGCCCCUGUCCUCGGAGUUGUGGUUCAUCCCGCCGGACCUCCACGGGCUAUGCUUCAGGUGCUUCGAGGAGGGCCACCGGCGUCAAGACUGCAGCAACCCCCCGCUUUGCAUCCGUUGUGGUGGCGCCGGCCACGUCUCCUCUCAGUGUCUGGAGCCGCGUAGCCCCAUCUCUGCGGAUGAGCUCCGGCGCAUUGUCAUUGCCAGGGUCGCGCGGAGGGAGCCGGCACCGCGUCAGCUUCCAGCUGUUCGGCAGAGAUUGUUGGAGCCUAGGCAGAGCGCACCCGCGGUGUCGCUCUCGCCAGUUGCGCCCAAUCUCGCCUCUAUGGCCUGGGGGGUGGCGCCCUCACCGUCUUCCUCGGAGAUUUGUGUGCUGCAGAGGUCGGAGUGCAUGGACGAUCUCGAGCGCAGGCUGCAGCUCGCGGUGGUGAUGUAUGUGGGCGGGGCGAGGCCGCCGGUGUCAUGUGAGGAUGCGGCGGUGGCGAUUGCUGCUCAGUUGGGCAUUCCAAGAUUCCGGUUUUCUGUCCACAAAUUCCACCCGGAGGAUUUCCUGGUUGUCUUCGCGGCGCACCAGUCCAGGAACUUGGCGUUAGUUGUUCCGUCGAUUGAGCACCAGGGAAUCAAGCUGUUCAUCAAGCCCUGGCUUACGCAGGCGCAGGCCACUUCUCGGUUGAUGAGAGUUCAGGGUGGUAGCUUUGCGACCACGACCGAGGAGAUCCCGAGGCAUUCAAAUAUGGCGAGGACCCAACAGGGAGCGAUAGCCACCAGGAGGGAGACAGCUGGCGAGUUGGCUGCAUCGGAUCCGUUGGCAAAGGGUGGCGAGGAGAACGAUGCGCCAGACAAAUCGGCUUUUGCAGUGGAUCAGGUUCGGGUAGUGGUUCAGAAGCAGGGUACGUUGGUGCUAGGUUCUGGGGUGGCAAGGCAGGAGAGGGCCACCAAUCAGAAGGCGCCUGAGAGGGAGGUGCAGCAUGUGGACACGGCUACAGUCGAGGAUGAUUUGGUGGAUCCCACGCGGACGGAACAUGAGGCGGGACCGGGCGAUGAGCUACCAGCCAGCCUGGAUCCGGUGCGGUCGGAUUCCCCGUGGGCUCCCCCAUCGCUGGCGGUCGCACAGGAGAUGGCGCCGCAGAUUAUCCCCGCCCAUCAAAUAGUUGUGGUGGGUCACGACCAGUCCAAUGGCUGGGCCCCGGUUGCGGAUCUUCUGCAUGGUUCUGCUGGAGGACAGCCAAUGAGUGAGGCCGAGGUUGCCUCCACCUUGAUUCCUGGGGCCAUGCAGCCAGACGUGGGGAGGGAGGGCACUGUUGGCGACGUGACUACGUACACUGCAUGUGAUGAUUUGGCGCUGAUUAGCUCGGAUCCUGGUGCCCGGAACAAUGGACUGGAGUUGGAUGCUACGGAGGCACGUUUAUCCUAUAAGGAGGAACUUGCGGUGAACAACAUCAAGACUUUUUGUGCUGGUCUGCUCAAGAAAUUAGCCCCACCAGUACUCAAGGAGUUUGAGGGACUCAGGGGAGUGAAACCUGGCUAG
rnacentral:rRNA from 1 species